rnacentral:rRNA from 1 species
AGUGAACGCUGGCGGUAGGCCUAACACAUGCAAGUCGAACGGCAGCACAGUAAGAGCUUGCUCUUACGGGUGGCGAGUGGCGGACGGGUGAGGAAUACAUCGGAAUCUACUUUUUCGUGGGGGAUAACGUAGGGAAACUUACGCUAAUACCGCAUACGACCUACGGGUGAAAGCAGGGGAUAUUCGGACCUUGCGCGAUUGAAUGAGCCGAUGUCGGAUUAGCUAGUUGGCGGGGUAAAGGCCCACCAAGGCGACGAUCCGUAGCUGGUCUGAGAGGAUGAUCAGCCACACUGGAACUGAGACACGGUCCAGACUCCUACGGGAGGCAGCAGUGGGGAAUAUUGGACAAUGGGCGCAAGCCUGAUCCAGCCAUACCGCGUGGGUGAAGAAGGCCUUCGGGUUGUAAAGCCCUUUUGUUGGGAAAGAAAAGCAGCAGAUUAAUACCCCGAUGUUCUGACGGUACCCAAAGAAUAAGCACCGGCUAACUUCGUG